AUUGAACGCUGGCGGCAGGCCUAACACAUGCAAGUCGAGCGGAUGCAGGGAGCUUGCUCCUGGAUUCAGCGGCGGACGGGUGAGUAAUGCCUAGGAAUCUGCCUGGUAGUGGGGGAUAACGUCCGGAAACGGGCGCUAAUACCGCAUACGUCCUGAGGGAGAAAGUGGGGGAUCUUCGGACCUCACGCUAUCAGAUGAGCCUAGGUCGGAUUAGCUAGUUGGUGGGGUAAAGGCCUACCAAGGCGACGAUCCGUAACUGGUCUGAGAGGAUGAUCAGUCACGCUGGAACUGAGACACGGUCCGGACUCCUACGGGAGGCAGCCGUGGGGAAUAUUGGACAAUGGGCGAAAGCCUGAUCCAUCCAUGCCGCGUGUGUGAAGAAGGUCUUCGGAUUGUAAAGCACUUUAAGUUGGGAGGAAUGGCAGUAAGUUAAUACCUUGCUGUUUUUGCGUUACCAACAGAAUAAGCACCGGCUAACUUCGUG
rnacentral:rRNA from 1 species